rnacentral:rRNA from 1 species
GACGAACGCUGGCGGCAUGCCUAAUACAUGCAAGUUGAACGAUGAUAUUCUCUGCUUGCAGAGAAUUGAAGAGUAGCGAACGGGUGAGUAACACGUGGGGAACCUGCCCAUGAGAGGGGGAUAACAUUCGGAAACGGAUGCUAAUACCGCAUAAUGCUUUGGACCGCCUGGUCCAGAGACGAAAGACGGCUUUUGCUGUCACUCAUGGAUGGCCCCGCGCCGUAUUAGCUAGUUGGUGAGGUAAUGGCUCACCAAAGCUGUGAUACGUAGCCGACCUGAGAGGGUGAUCGGCCACACUGGGACUGAGACACGGCCCAGACUCCUACGGGAGGCAGCAGUAGGGAAUCUUCCACAAUGGGCGAAAACCUGAUGGAGCAAUGCCGCGUGAAUGAAGAAGGUCUUCGGAUCGUAAAGUUCUGUUAUUAGAGAAGAACAAGUCAAGGAGUAACUGUCUUGACUUUGACGGUACCUAACCAGAAAGUCACGGCUAACUACGUGCCAGCCGCCGCCGUAACAC